rnacentral:piRNA from 1 species
UGGAAAAGCAAAGGGUGAGCUCUUCAGUAA